rnacentral:rRNA from 1 species
UAAAAUUUAUAAAAUUAGGUAAUAAAGAAAUUUCUGAAACCUAAAGAAUUUGGCGGUAUUUUAAAUAAUUGGAGGAACCUGUUAUUUAAUUGACAAUCCACAUCAUAUCUUUCCUAAAUUUUAUUUGUAUAUCGUCGUUUUGAUAAUAUUUAAAAAUUAUAAUCAAUAUUAAUAAAUUUUCAAAAAUCAGAUCAAGGUGCAGUAUAUUUAGGUUAUAAUGGGUUACAAUAUAAAUAUAUAAAAUGGAUAUAAACUUGAAAUUUUAUUGAAAGUGGAUUCAAAAGUAAUAUUAAAUUAAAAUGUUAAUUUGGUUAAUAAUUUAAAAUAUGC